CUCCAUUGCUUGACUUUCAGGUAAUGAUAAAGGAUAAACACGACACUUGGGUGGCAUGGAAUAAGGAAGGAGCUCUGUGGCACAGUCCCACGGGCGAUGAGGUGGAAGGCGAGUGGCUUUCUCUUUACUGAAUACCUCCCUUAGAUCAUGAUAUUCCUUGGGCAGUGAUAUUUGGGUGGUAAUUCCUGGACUCUCAAUGAAGGUUAUGCAACAAGAUCGAGGCACGGGGUUGUUAAAGCAGUUCUGAAUGCAGCGAGAUGACCAGUGUGUUAGUUCUCCCUCUUUCCAGGAUAUGCAAGGAUCAUGCAGUCAGAGCCACAGAAGGCUUAAGGUGAUGGGGUUAGCGGGAGAAGAGAUGAUGAAAAAGGUGAGCUUUUCCAGGUGGACAGUCCAAUUUGUAAUUUCAGAGGGGGUGUUUAGUGUGUUAAAUAUCCCUCCCCAAUGGGUUGGUAGAGUGCAGCGAAUGGUGGGAAGGUGUAAUCUCUCCACCAGCCCAUGGUCAAUGAGGUUGAUGCUGAGACAUGCUGAGAAUUAGUGCUGAGACAUGCACAGAGUCAGGAACAAUGCGUAACAUGGCGGUGAUAGUAACUUUACAUAGAAGGUUGUUGUCUCUCACCUGUGAUGAGGAUGGACACACGGGGUAUUGGUAGACCUGGUGGCCGGGUUGUCUGCAAUAGAAGCAUUGGCGUUCCUUUUUGGGUACACGCGUAUGACCGAGUUGCAUGUGUUCAACGGUGUUCUCCUCGCGAUAAAUUGUGUCGAGGUGUUGGAAUGGACGAUUUUUGGCGCGUGAAUUGGGGUGGUGGUGGUUUCAUGACACGCCAUAUCUGCCUGUAGAGUUGGGUGGAGGCCUUCACAAAAUACCGCUAGCAAUGCAGUUUCAUUCCACCCUGACUGCGCAGCCAGUGUACGAAACUUGAUCGGGUAAUCUACGGCUGAAUCUGAACCCUGGCGUAAUUCCAGCAAUUCCUGGCGUAAUUCCAGCUAUUUAGCAAAAUAAUCCGCAGAGGACUUUACUUGGGAAUCACUAUCCCAUACGGCUGAGGCCAGUCAAGCACUUUGCCAGUCAAUAAAGACAAAACCCUAAUAUUCAAAACUUGGGAGAGGGCUCCCUCUGGUGUUUGACCUCCAGCUGAGCCAUGACAGUGUGUUAGUUAUUGCACGCAUGGUAUUUGAUUUUGUAAGCAAAUUUUUUUGUUAGUGAAAGAUAAAUAUGUGGAACAUUAUGAUAUUUCUUUUGCAGAAAGUGAUAAUGGCUCAUGUUGCUACAACCCUCUUCAAAAGCUAUGGCUUACUGAGGAAGAAGGCAUCAAACGUCAGCCUAUCACACAUCAGGAUCAGCAUCUGUCUGUACAUGACUGUGCAUUGUUUUUGCAAACAUUCUGACUAAAACAAAAAUUUCUGCUGCAGCUGAGUGAAUACAAGACCCUGAGCGACUGGUGUCUUCCCCAGAUGAUGAGCACAGAGAAGCCGUUAUUAAGAUGGGAGAUAAACACCACAGUAACUUCAUAUUUCUGAAAAUGCUGUAAUCAUGUCUUUAACUGUUUUCUCAAAUAUUUGACUGCAGCAAUCUGGGAACUGACGCUGCCAGUUUGACCUAAUCGGAUGCUUUGUUUGUGUGUGUGUGUGUGUGUGUGUGUGAGAGAGAGAGAGAGGUGUUUUGUGUUUUUCCUGACUUGCUAGUGACACAUUUUUCUAUUUACACCAGUCUGCCAUUUGGUCUGACGGUCCUGACAGCAGUCAUUGAGAGAACAGAGGUUUACAAAUAUGUGCUGUCGCUGAUCUCAGGCCUCGCACAGCCAAACUUCCAGAUGUUCAAGUUGUGUCAUGCCAGCAGUUUAGUCCAGGCUGAAUUUCCUGAUGAAGCCCUUCAAUACUGUGUGGCCAACACCAGGGCAGUCAUAACCUUCCCCAACAGCUUCAAAAGGAGCUUCAGUGAACAGCUCAUUUGGCUGUCUAUCAAAGCACAAGGAUGUGGAGAAGAACCUGAGUGGAUGCGAGAGGUUAUGCAGCUGCGCCAAAGUCGCUGAUAAAAAAGCACUCGACAUCUCCCAGAAGGUUGCCAUCAAAAAGGAAAAGGAUCACUUCAUCCAGCCCAUGCAGAUUGAAAGCAAACUUUGUAGUAGUUUUUGCUCAUUUACUUAGGGUCCAGUUCAACUGGCUGCAGAUCAAAUACACAGUAAAAUAAUGUGACUGUUUAUUUAUUCCUGCUAACAUAAAGGAAAUAAAUCCAUCUCUGCUUAUCAUAGUUUAGAUGCAUUCACACCAAACCCAUGAUGACCAUGUCUGUUUUAAUUUUAGCCUGGAAUGACGGGCAAGGUGCAAGUGGAGCUGACGCUAAUGAAGAUCGUGUCUGAAUCACCUCAGUGUAGCAACAUUAUUGAGCUCCUGGAGUGGUUUGAAACGCUAGAUCGAAUCGUCUUGGUCCUGAGAGACCCAGCCUCUGUGUAGACUUCCAUGAAUUCACUGAAUGUCAGGAAGGUUGUCUGACUGUAGAUCAGGCAUGAGACAUCAUGCUGCAGGUGAUUCGAGCGGUUCGGCACUGCUGUGACCGUAGAGUGCUACACCGUGACGUCAAAGCCCAGAAUCUGCUCAACACCGACGCUCUGGAAGUCAAACCGAUUCACUUUAGCUGCUGCUGGGCAUCCCAUACAGAGAUUAUGCAGGCACGCUUGCAUUCUGUCCUCUGGAGUGGGUGAUGUUCAACAUGUAUUUGGGCAUUCCUGCUACCAUCUGAGGUCUGGGAAUUCUGUUCUUUGAGCUGGUCUGCAGAGACUAUCCCUUUGAAUCCGAGACCGACCUUGAAGAUGGGCACCUGGAAUUCUCACCAGAUAUGUCUCAAGAUGCUGGAACCAAUGACCUGGAAAAGCCAACCACAAAACAUAAAGAAAUAAAGAAAUAAAGAAAGAAAUAAAAAUGAAAUUAAAGAAAUGCAAAACAUAAAACCAAAUAAAAUAAAAAUGUAGAAAUCUUUGCAAUUGUCAGUUGUUCAUUUGUUCAGAGCUAUUAGGCGUCGUAUUAAUAAAAGUUAUUAUAAAAUAAACAAGAUUUUGAUACUGGAUUUACUUCCAUCAUGGAUUACAGCUGGACAUCUUUUCAUGAUGUUAAACUGAAAAAUCCACACAUACUACCUGUUGGAGCCA